ensembl:lncRNA
GGGAAGCGCUGGGAGGUGGGUGGGAGUUGUGUAGGGAGUUAGAAAAGUUGCCGAACUCCUAAAGUUCGCAGUUUCCCAGAAAGAUCUGCCUGGGUAGUAUUUAGGCGUCAUCCGCACAACUCUUCAAAUUUCAAAGUAAUGCAAUCGGGAGAUCUGGGGAGGCGCGAAGUGGGCUGGAGACCCACUUGGAAUGAUUUGUAAUCCACGAGGAACUUCGCUCAGAUGCAAACAAAAGGAACUCAGCAACUUUCUCCAAACAGCAACUCCCUUCCCCGCCUCCUUCUUUCCCCGGGCAGGACAUUACAACCAACCUAACUUCCCAAAGGAAACAACCCCAGGCAAAUAUGACACCCGAGCAAGUGACAAGCGUUAGAGGCAGCCAGGAGGGCAGCUCUGAUUGGGGAUAGAUAGCCUUGGCUCAGCCGCCUUGCGAGAGGCUGCUGGAGACUCCGAAGAUCCCGAACUGGGCCGUGCAGGAGAGUAACGGAACGGAUUGCAGAACUGCGGCCGCUGCAGCUAGCGCGGUGCGCAAUGUGGAUUCCUUAAAGCUCUUAAGUUCUCCAUCAAAGCGCGACGCAACGUACGGGAGGGAAAGUUAGAGGCUUAGGUGCAAUGCAUCUCUCCAGACCUCCGGUUCCGACGAGGACCGGAGCACACGUUGCGUGCCGCGUACGGGCAAAGGCUGAGCCCCAAGGCUGCCGAACACAUUACACGUUUUAUACUCAACACAAAAGUGUGCGAGGGACUUUAUGGAGAAAAAGCAAUGCAGCUCCAGCAGUCCGGGAGGCGGGGAAAAGAAUACAGGCAGCACGCAAUUACUUAAUGCUACACUUUAAAAACAACACACAAAGCAUCUAAUUGUAUCUGGGUUGCGUUUGUUCCACGUUCGUCCGCUUCGGAAGCACAAACAGGAACAACACACAACACGGAUGGAAAGUCAAGAAGCCACACAAAGACAAGACACGGACGGACACCAAUUGCCAACACACAGAAACGCAGCUUCGGGUACAGAACCAAAUCCUCGCCGAUCUCCAGCGCUUGUUCUGCGGCGGGCAGUAAAAAGACUGUAUUUUUUCCACUUGAAGACUGUUCUUGGGAAAGUUUCUUCUCCAUCCGAAGGUAACCUGGACAUUGGGAGCAAAAUUGGAGGAUAUACACAGAAAAGUCCUAUGCUACCUGAAGGCAGUAUUUCAACAGCUGAGGAACACUUCCCUUUUCGGAAGGUAGGAAGACCGAGCACAGCUGAUUGUUACAGCAGCUGCCAAGUCUGAAGAAUGGUCACAGCAACUGGGCAUGGAUAAUCUAGUGAAGAGAAGACCAGGGGAGACAUGAUAGCGGUGUUCCAAUAUUUGAGGGGCUGUCCCACAGAGGAUGGGGUCAAUCUAUUUUCCAAAGCACCUGAAGGCCAGACAAGGAAUAAUGGAUGGAAACUGAUCCAGGAGAGAUUCAACCUAGAAAUAAGGAGAAGUUUUCUGGCAGUGAGAACAAUCAACCAGUGGAACAGCUUGCCCUCAGGAGUUGUGGGAGCUUCAUUACUGGAAACCAUGGAUCAGAAAUGGUUGGGCACUGGUUGGACUCAGUACCCUACAAGGUCUCUUCAACUCUGUUAUUCUGUUGUUAAGUCAACUAGAUCAGGUAACAGAGGGAACCAAUAGGAUUCCAUCUGUUUGGAAUGUAUAUUCUUUAGCUGAUAAAGCUCUCAUAGAUGUUCUUACAAAAAUACUUUCAAACCACAAUGACUUUAUAAUGGGAUGGGCAACUAUGGCAACUUUACAACCUGUGGACUUCAACUCCCAGGAAUUCUGGCAAUUGAAAUCCACAGGUCCUAAAGUUGUCUGGUUGCCCACCCCUGCUGUAUGUAAUAAAACAACAUGGAUAUAAGAAAGUCAAUAUUGGACUAGAUAAAAUUCCAGAGCAAAACAGAAUAGAAUUGGUAGAUGACAACGACCAGACCUGGAGAAGUAUUUUUUCAGUCUUGCAUGGUGUGGCUGGGAACUGAAUGGAUUUUAUCUCUUCCUUGUAAAAUAUGACUGUAAAAGUAAAUUCUGGAUCCUACAAAUGUAUAUUCUGAUUAUUUUCUUUACUUUGGGAUGUAAUUGAGUAUGGAUCUUUUGUUCUUACAUAGGAGAUGCACAAAUUCUUUUGGCUUGUAGCCUUCAUCAGAGCCAACAUCCAUUUCAGGGAAAAAUU